UACAAAACAGGAGAAAUUCUGUAUUUUUAAAGGAUUACCUAUCCAAACUUUGUUUCAGAAUUCAGAGACAAAAAUCACAAUCAAAUAAUGAGGCAAAACUUUUUGAAAAAAAUAAGCAAAUAUAAGGUUUGUACAAAUCAACUAAAUUCUAAGUUAAAAAUUCUAUUUUCCAAUUAAAAACUUAUAUCUCCAAAAUAUUUUUGUGCCAAAGAAGAAGCACAUAAAUAUAGGUAAAUAUCAGAUGCUGUCUUUCUCUUUCUUUGUUUUCUACCUAUAAUA
rnacentral:lncRNA from 1 species